rnacentral:rRNA from 1 species
AGGGAAUCUUCCGCAAUGGACGAAAGUCUGACGGAGCAACGCCGCGUGAGUGAAGAAGGCCUUCGGGUCGUAAAACUCUGUUGCCGGGGAAGAACAAGUGCCGUUCGAACAGGGCGGCGCCUUGACGGUACCCGGCCAGAAAGCCACGGCUAGCUACGUGCCAGCAGCCGCGGUAAUACGUAGGUGGCAAGCGUUGUCCGGAAUUAUUGGGCGUAAAGCGCGCGCAGGCGGUUUCUUAAGUCUGAUGUGAAAUCUUGCGGCUCAACCGCAAGCGGUCAUUGGAAACUGGGAGGCUUGAGUGCAGAAGAGGAGAGUGGAAUUCCACGUGUAGCGGUGAAAUGUGUAGAGAUGUGGAGGAACACCAGUGGCGAAGGCGACUCUCUGGGCUGUAACUGACGCUGAGGCGCGAAAGCGUGGGGAGCAAAC